GGUGUACAAGUGAAAAGCUCAGUGGCAAAUACCCGAAGACUAUUUUUGCUUGCAAUUUUAUUUUCUAUUCCCCCGCAUACAACACAAGCUGAUUCCUUGACGAAGAAACUGAAUGGCUAAAUGGAAAUUUACGCCAGUGAAAAACUAUUAUAAACACUGACUUGAAUUUUUACAGACUCAAAAAUCAAAUCACAGUCCAGUGUGGAAUCAGGAAUAGCCAAAUGUUUUUAUUUUUCCCAACCGGAAGUGAAUCCAAAAGUCAUACAAUAUGGUGGUUCUUGGACAGUUGAAUUUUGCGCCAUUAAAUGCACUUUUAAAGG